rnacentral:rRNA from 1 species
GAUGAACGCUGGCGGCGUGCUUAACACAUGCAAGUCGAACGGAAAGGCCCAAGCUUGCUUGGGUACUCGAGUGGCGAACGGGUGAGUAACACGUGGGUGAUCUGCCCUGCACUUCGGGAUAAGCCUGGGAAACUGGGUCUAAUACCGGAUAGGACGAUGGUUUGGAUGCCAUUGUGGAAAGUUUUUUCGGUGUGGGAUGAGCUCGCGGCCCAUCAGCUUGUUGGUGGGGUAAUGGCCUACCAAGGCGUCGACGGGUAGCCGGCCUGAGAGGGUGUACGGCCACAUUGGGACUGAGAUACGGCCCAGACUCCUACGGGAGGCAGCAGUGGGGAAUAUUGCACAAUGGGCGCAAGCCUGAUGCAGCGACGCCGCGUGGGGGAUGACGGCCUUCGGGUUGUAAACUCCUUUCGCUAGGGACGAAGCGUUUUUGUGACGGUACCUGGAGAAGAAGCACCGGCUAACUACGUG